GGCUUUGUAGCUCAGCUGGUUAGAGCGCUCGACUCAUAAUCGAGAGGUCGGCAGUUCAAGUCUGCCCAAAGCCACCA
rnacentral:tRNA from 1 species